rnacentral:lncRNA from 1 species
CUGCAUACUAUGCAAGACUAAAAAUGAAAUAAGAGGGCACCUUUUUUUACUGACCAUACUUUAGAGCCAUCCUCCUACCCCUAGUAGAAAAAUUAAACAAUGCUCUCUGGAAAAUCCUUGGAUUGUAGAGCCAAUUAUACUGUGGUAUGGAGAGCAGAGACUCAAUUUAAUAAAUUAAGUAGAAAUUGUGAGAUGAUUAGGAAUAGAAGCCACAUAAACUAACUUGCAAAUGGUAUAUGGUCUCAUAUGCCAACCAAAUUUUCAAUCUUCCUCUGAAGAAUAGGUAUAUCGUCUCAUAUACCAGCAAAUGGUGUAUGGUCUCAUACUACCACUGUAAUAACCUGAAUUUUCUUAAUUUAAAUAGAUUUAUUCCCAAAGUUAAUUAAACAAACAAUCAAGAUCCAUAUGUCCGAAUGGGCGUACACAACAAAAUCAAAGUACUAGCGGAAACCAAAUAGACUCUUUAUUUAACUAAUAUCCUAGGAUCCCAUUCAUGUGUGAAACCCUCUGUCCAGUCCAUUCCAAGCCGUCCCUUAUUCUGCAAUAAAAUAUCAUUUACAUGGGUAAGUUUAAAAACUUAGUACGUGAAUAUAUAAUAAAUCUCAUAGUUCAUGAAUUUCUUUUAGGGCAUAUCAGCCCUCCUUGGUUACCAAUAGAGGUUCUUAUGAACCCUCCCUUUUUCCUUUACAUGGGUCAUCGAGUAAACCCUCGCCAUGCCGUCAAACCCCGUCGGGUCAUGUAGCCUCGUCAGGCCCGUUAAGUUCCUUUCAUUUCAUGUGUCGUCAAAUCCCUAAGGAUCCGUAAAUUUCGUAUGAUUGGGCAUUACUAAAGAGAGAUUGAGUGAUCCACUCAAUCCAAUCUUGGUCCGUAACCUUGGUGGAUCUUCAGUGAAUAGAGAGGAGGUUAGAUUGAGUGUUACCCCGGGGACUUGCUCGAUCUUCUCCUUUCGUCGUUCACCCCUAAAUCCUUAACUUCAAGGUUUGGGUUCCUUUAGGAUUUAACUCGAUGGUGGAUGGGAAUAAUUCAGGUCGAGUGCCAUUCCAAGAACCGGCUCGACCCGCCCCUUUUGUUGUCCAUUCCUAAAUUCAUCCGAAUUUAGGGUUAGGGUUCUUUAGGUUUUAUUGAUUUUCCUUUUACCCUUUUCGUUAUUAGAUCCAAAGAAAACUCAAAAUUGAAAUAAAACCCGAAAUGUCAUUUAAAUUCUCGAGAAAUGAAACGGUUUGCAUUAGUAAAAAUCAAACUUUUAAAUCAACUAAGUUUGAGUUUAAUUUACCUCUCGUUCGUUUAACUCAACCUUUGAAAACAAAACGCAGACCUUUAAAUUUACUUGACCACCACCCUGGAAUAAGCGGUAGGUCUAUAGAGUUGAAGCUUAACCUCAAAUAACCAACCCAAUUAUUUAGACCCAUCUCUUGAUUUUAUUGGUUAAAAUCGACCAUGUGGGUGUCCAUUUGGGUGUCUAAGGCUUAAGCAUAAACUUCUAGCCCUAGGGCAGCGCAAAUCCUGAACUUGGAGACCUUGUGGAGCCCAGUCCACGAUUAUAGUCCCGUGUUCAUAAGGAUUUUUGCUGUCCAGUAAAUAAUUUAAAGAACAAAAAUCAGAAACCACAACUCAAGAGAUGGCAAAAACCUAAAAUAUCGCUUAAACCACAAGGACAAGAAGUUCAUUUCUUCUGUUACCUAGCAGAACUACUGAAAUAUCAAACAGAAAAUCAGAAGACAGAAAAUAAAAAAACCAGAAAACAGAAAAACAGGAACAGAAAAACAGAAAAACAAACAGAAGAAAACUUUAACUUCCCUUGAACCAAAAAAUAACAAUCGAACAACAACUUUGUUGUACGAAACAAGGCCUCUAAUCUCCCAAUGGAGAUACAAUCCGUAAACCAAAAAUCAUUCAUAUUCUUACAUCAUUUCAUUUCAUUUCUAAUAACAAUACUUCAUACUAAAAUAUUCUAGUAGAAGGAUUGAAUAUAUUCACGUACCUUGAUCUCCUCUUAGUGUUUUCUCCUAACACUUGCAAGCCCUAGCCGAGUCCUUCCCUUCCUCUUCCUUCAAAUUUCCGUCCCCCCUUUUCUAUUUUUAACACCUCCUAUUUAAAGAUUUAACUUUAUCCUCAAUUUCGUCCAAAUCUUUCCUUUAUUUCUUCCUCAAUCAAUUAAAAAUAUUCUCUUUAAUUGAUUCCUUUGACCCAUUUGCCCCUAUUUUAAAAAUGUUUCCUUCCUUUAAUUUGACUAAUUUAACCUUAAUUUGAAAUUAAUUAAGAAUAUUCUUUUGACCUUAUUGCCUUUAUAUUUAAAAAAAAACGUUUUCUUAAUCUAAUUGACUAAUUUACCCUUACAUUUAAAUCUUAUUUAUUUUCUUAUUUAAUUAAACCAUUUAGAUUCAGCCCAAUUCGAAAAGGCCCACUAGAUUUUAUUUACUUAAGUUCAGCCCCACUUAGGCCUCACCCAUACUUGACUAACCUAAUUACUUAUUAAAUUUAAUUAGGCCUAGCCUAAUUGACCUUAACCCAAUCGGUUAGGCUGAGUUGCUCUAGUUCUGCCUAUUUUAGCUAAAAUUUCCCAAUUUUUCUCCUGUAAUUAGGGUUUUCUUUUACUAUUAAGACCCCUAAUUUUUCCAGAAUAUUACAACCACACCCUGAGAGCCAUGAGUGUUCCCUUUCUCCGGUGAUAACCGGAAUCCCACCUUUCCAAGGCUAGUGGUGCUCCGCCUCAUCUCUUUGAGGUGAGACCUAUCAAGUAGGCGGGACUUGCUAGGGAAGAUCUCACUAGUUUUUCAUGCUCCCCUGAUUGAGAGUCUCUUUAUACUCUCCGACAACCACCUAAAAUUCACGAACUUCACCGGUAGUUCCGACCACCUCUCCUGGUGAGUUGUUUAUCCCAUCAAGUUGGUAUACUUGAAGGGAUAAAAUUCCGGUGAACUCCUACCUUGCCUUUUUUAGUGAUCUCUUCAUGGAUAAUUUUUUCGAAACCCUUGCUGGGAAGUGGGUUAAAAUCUCAUCGAAGAUUGAUGAUGCCAAAACAUUGAAUUUCGAUGAUUUUGAGCUCAGGUUUGGGAUAAAACAUGCGAUGAUAUUUGAAGAUAAGAUCCUCCCUUCAAAGGAAGGGCUAUCACUUUCAGCGAGGAUGGAUCAUUGGUGAAAGCCCCUCUCCUCUUCGGCUUCACUGUUUCUUUAAGCUUUGAUCAUUAUGGUAUCUGAGGAAAUGAACUUAUCGAUGCCACACAUACCUCUGGAAAAAGAGGUCAGAGAGACUCUUAUCUCACUGGCCCUGAUGGCUUUACUGUCUCAUUUUUUCAGAAAUUCUGAUCUGAACUACCUAUGAGUUGGCUGACUUUAGGCCUAUCUCAUGUGUGAAUCUGAUAUAUAAGCUCCUCUCCAAGACUCUGGCCAACAGGAUGAAUGAGGUUGCCAACUUGUUGGUCUCACCACACCAAACAACUUUUAUGAAGGAGAAGGUCAUCUCUGAUAAUACCCUACUGGCUGAGGAAAUACUCCAAGGUUUUGGGACGGUAAGAUCCCCCAAAAGAUGCAUGCUGGGUGUAGACCUUAGAAAGACUUUUGAUACAAUCAGGUGAGAUGCUAUUCUAGAAACCUUUAGGGUAAUGGGGUUCUCUUAGCAUUUCAUCACUCGCUAUCAAAUUAUAUUAAAACUGCUUAUCUAUUUUGGUGGAAGGUACCCCACAAGACCUUUCAAAAGCCAGAGAGGGUUGAGACAGGGAGACCCCAUAUCCCCUAUCUUAUUUAAUUUGGUCAUGGACUGCCUUAAGUCCUUAACAAACUCAUUCGGAUUGGCUUGGAUGAUGGGAGAAUAGAUACCUACCAGGUCAAUGGUGCAAGGUCUGUCUCUCAUCUUAUCUAUGUAGAUGACAUUCUUAUAUUCUCUAAGGCUAACCUUAAGUCAUUGAAUUCUAUCAAGGAAAUCCUUGGGGUUUUCUCUAAGUUCUCAUGCCUAAAUGUUAACAAUGAAAAGAGUAGUGCAUACUACUCAAAGGUGGUUAAAGCCACUCAUCUAGAAGGAAUUAUUGGUUUACCCUCUAAGCCACUCUGAUGCAGUAGAAGAUUUUGCCAUUAUUAAUUACACAAAUAAUGGCAAUAAUAUAUUCUAUGGACAGAAUCGUGAUCAAGGGGAUCAAGCCAACCCAUAUUCCUCUUAAGGAAACAUCACACUCACAUCAAAUGGGUUGCCCAUUACCUUUGAUGUGAGUAUAAAUAUAGUGGGCCCAAGGAGGGGAAGAUCAAUUAUCGAAUUAUUGCAAUUGCCAAAGGUAACUUCUUUCCUUUCUUCCCUGUUUUUCUCUUUCCUCGUUUUUUCCUGCAAACAGUUUUCUUUCUACCCUAGAUCUAGAACCUUGGUGGAUUGCUGGAUUCCAAGCUUCUUUCUUUUUUUCCCUAAUCGAAGAAGGAUAAAACCUAUUCUUCUUCUCUGUUUUAAUCACUCAGAAUCUUCUCCUACAUCACACUCCCUCUCAUUUACAUGGGUAUUCCCAUCUCGGGUAAAAGGAAAAGCUUUGGGCGGUGCAUUGGUCUUAUCCAACCCCUAGAGAGAACAUUGGCUAGAUGGAAAGGUAGAUGUUUUUCUUAUGGAGGUAGGAUCCAGCUAGUUAAUUGGGUCUUUGCUGGAAUGUUCACAUAUUGGAUUAAUGGUACCUCCCUCCCUAGUUCAGUGGUCAAUAAGAUUAGGCAAAUUGCCUACAAAUUUAUUUGGGAUGGUAAGAAAUCCACCCCUUGGGUUAGAAUGAGUCUCCCUAAGGAGUUGGGAGGAUUAGGGGUCCGGAGUUUUGAAGCAUAUGCCUAUGAAUCUCACAUCAAAAGAGCCCACUAUUACUGAUCAAAUAAUGAGUCUAUCCUCUCAUGUUGGGUCAGAGAUGGGUAUAUAAAAGGUAAAAAUCCAGGCUUUUCACCAGGGAUUCCAUUAUGUUGAAGAUCAUCCUCAAGUGUAAAUCUUAUAUAGGCAGUUUAAUGUCUUAUGGUAACAACUUUAACCUAAGUCCUGGUUUGAAAGCAGGAAGCUCCUAAUUACCUUAAGUUCCAAGAAGCAUUAGCUACCCCCCAGGCAGUCUGGCCCCCUAGCCAUAGGAAUCUGGUCCAAGAAGCUUACUAAAUUUUCUGUCUUCUCAUGGAGGUUUUGAUGGGGGUUCCUCCCAUCUUUUAGUACUGGGGCAUGCCUGCUCUUAGCCUCUUUAUCCUUUGUAAUCAGGAGCAUGAAAUCAUUAGCUACAUCUACUUCAACUGUCCCUAUACUCUAGACACAUACUCCUAGCUUGCUCUGAACUUACGAAUCAUAUUGUAUGGAAGAAUGUGAAUUUGCAGAUACAUUUGGGCGGGGGAUAUCAGAUUGGGGGAUGUGAUUGAUUACAUCCAAUCCAAGGUUCUAUUCAGGCACGCUUUUGCACAAGAGCGCUACCUGGAGGCACCUUGAAAAGCGUUUUUCAUGGCGCCUGCAGGUAAUGGGUCUAACUGGAUCCCGGUACUUUUAAAUUAAAUAUUUAAUAGGGUAUUGCGUUUUCCCGACACUGGAAAACGCAAGGAACCCUAGUAAAAUCCCUCAAAACCCUAGAAACCUCUCCCAAUUCUCCCUCAACUGCCCCCAAUCCAUGCCCAUAUCUCCAGCGACCAUUAAAAUCUAGUUUUAAGGUGUGACUUUAAGUACUGAACUAUCUAAGUAUUUAAGACUUUAAAUAUAUUUAAUAGGGUAUGUAUAUUUAAGACUUUAAGUAUUUAACUAUCUAAUUAUUUGAAUUAAAUAUAUAUUUUUGUAUGAAAUAUAUGUAUUUUUUAAUCAUUUACCAAAAUACCCUUGGCACCUGAAGCGCGCCUAAGCGGUAGUGCACCAGGUACUGGUGCACAGCGCAAUCACGCCUUUAAAACCUUUAUAUAAUCCCUAAGGUCAGGCUCUAAUUGCUGGAGGUUGCUCUGGACACUACUUGGUAGGGUAUCAUGGCAUCUGUGGAAGGUGAAGAAUCGAAAGUGAAAAACUAGUAGCUCCAGAUCUGAGGAUGUGGUUGUGGCUGAGGUCAGAAAGGACAGCAAGAUCUGCUUUGAGGUUAAGGCUAAAUCUCCGUACUUAGGCAUAGCUGAAGUUAAUGCCAUUAGGCGUUGGCUAGAGUUCGGAUAGUAUUUCUGUUUUGAUGUUUGCUGCUCUACCCCUAGAUGACACAGUCUGCUUUGUGUAGUGCUUCUGUUGAGGGGUUUUUAUUUUCUGUUUUUACUGUAAAACUGGGAAAGGCUUUCAUUUUUAAUGAAAUUUCAACUUGAUCAAAAAAAAGGAAAUCAAAACAACACACUUUGUGACCCCCAGAAGUUUUGUUUAGAGAAGCCAUCAGGGACAUCAGCCUCUCCUUCAGGCCAGAGUGCCACGGAAAAAGCCUCUCCUACAGUUCAAUUGUGGGAGACCAACCUCUUGAGGCAGUCAGUCUAUAUAGUCGAUUGUCACUAGGUAACAUAGCCAAUUAGAAAGUGUCGAUGGGUUUGCAAACUUAUCUCUCUUUUUUAUCUUUUUUGUUUCUCCAAACUUUGUAAUUCGGGCACUAUCAAGAGAGAAUCUUUUUAGGUUCAAAUAUAUUCCUGUGAAAAUAUCAUUUACCCUUUAGCCAGAACAGUCACUAUCAUAUGUUUUUUAUAUGCAAAUAUAUCCCUAGUACCAAUCUCUAGUCUCUAUGGUUGCAGUUUUUUUGUAAACAGAGGAAACCACUAUUACUUUCUUAGAAAGUCAAAAUCUUUAGGUGACAUGACAGAGUUUAGCUUUUAUAUUACUAACUGUUCCUUCAAAGUUCUAUGGUUCAGGACUAUGGAAUAUCAAAUAUUUUCAAAGUCCUAAAUUUGCAUUUGUGAUUUUCGACCAGCUGUCUUGGGCCGACUUCCAGGAACAACUAUAUAUAGAAAUACUGAACAGUACCCUGAUUCAUAUAUAUACAAUGGCAUUGUGAUAGUUAGAAUUGAUGCACCGAUUUACUUUGCAAAUACAAGCUACAUUAAAGACAGGUGAUAACCUUUAAAAUUGCACAUAUACAGCAAAAGUUUUCAUUGCUGCCAGAAUUUUAUUAAUGGUAACUUUCUUUUCACCCUUGGCAGGCUACGUAAAUUCGAAGGUGAUAUAUCAGGACCUUCAAAUCAUGGACCAGAAGUUGAAAAUAUUUAUUUUGUCAUUCUUGAGAUGGCACGUAAGUUCUCUACUUAUCCUUUUCUUUAUAACUAUCACUGUACUUGUCUAAUUUGCUAAUGCAUAAAAAAUCAGUAAAGAUGAUUGUGAAUACCUGAUUGUUAAACUAUGUCAUUACACUUUUCAUGAUUCAAAAGUUAUCAAUGUUAUUUUAUGACCAAAGGAAAAAUAAUCACUGCUUUGAUCUUUCUUUUUAUUUUAAAGGGUAAAAUAUUUUAAUAAUUUUUCUGACAAGAUAUACACAGUACAGGACUAUGGUCUAGGGUUUACCCUGGUAAGUGGUAAAUGACCAACCCUGACCUCAGUCCACAUCUGCACUAUGUGCACUAUGUUAAGACUAGACAUUACUUAGUAGAUAACAUCACAUAACUGAAUAGUUGAACCACUAUUGUUCCACUGAACAAGUUUGCGAUCUUCCCAAUUUUAGAAUCUUUUCCAUGUACUAUGUUGCCUCUCUCUUUCCAAACAUUCCAAAUGUACUCUAUUGCAUUUCUUAUCGCAUUUUCUUUUUGUAAAAUAUAAUCCAUUCUAAGCAGACAUGGCAGAUUUAGACACUUGGAAAUCAAGUGUUUCCAUAUCACAAGGGAAAAUUACCAGGAGAGGAAGAUAUUCUCUCCUGAUAAGAUGUGAUAUUGAUAAGUGACAAUGUGUGUGUGUAACUACCCUUCAAAAUGGCCUUACUGAAGACAAUUUCUGGGCCUGUCAAACUCAAAAGAUUGUAUGCUUCCUAGCUAAUCGGUGAAGAUGUGCGAAGACUUCCUUCGGACUAGAUGUACUCUAAGUUGAAGGAAAAACAGAGCUCCAAACUACCUGGCCUUAAUGAAUAGAGAGGCUCGGAAGGGCAAAGGAACUGCUAAAAUCACUAUAUGCACUACACCUUGGUUGAUAAGAUGAUUAGGAGGGCAGAACACAAUUGCUAAUAUUAUUUUAGGCAUUGCAAAUUGGUCACUUGAGAAUAGGGAUGCAAACGAAUCGAGAAGAGCUUUAGACUGUAGAGUCAGACUCAUACUCGAACUCGCCAAGCUCGGUAUGACCAGACUUGAGCUCAGCUUGAAACCUAUUUCACAAAGCUCGAGUUCGCAAGCCCUAUAACCUCAAAAAAAAUUAGAUAUAAAAUUUGCAAUAAUUACAACUCAAAACCAUGACCAUUCCUUUUAUUUUUAAAUAACUUAACCACUCAACUAAAAUUUCUUUAUGUAUAUUCAAUGAAAAUACAUUAUCUAAUAUUAUUAUCGAAUCUAAUGAUUUUACCGAGUCGAGCUCGAGCGCAACAAGACCAAGCUUACGCUCGUCUCAUUAGGCUUAACAAGGUUCGAGCCAAAACUUGCAACCCUUCUCGGGAAGGCACAAAGAAGUAUAUGAGAUUGCUAUAUGCACUACAUCCUGGUCGUUAAAAUCACUUUAUAUACGCCACAAAAGAUAAAAUGACCUGAGAGGUCUGAGAAGAGUUAUGUUAGGAAGGGAAUGGACAGAAAGAAAUCAUACAAUCAAAACUGGAAACUUAUCCAGCCUAGAAGUCAUGCUCUAUAAAUGGAGUGGCAAAUCCCUCUCCUAUGGAGGAAGAAUCCUACUUGUAAAUUGGAUAUUGGCUGGGAAAUACACC